CAUAUGAUUCACUUUUAUACACAUAUACACAAAAUCUUGUUAGGAUAUUUCCUCUGCCUUUUCAGAUCAAUUUGGAUAGGAAUAAGUGAAACUAUCUAACUGUUUUUUGCAGCCAAUAGUAUCCAGACCGAAUGUGUGGGAUCCUAUAUUACGAUAAUACAUUUGUCAGUCUCCUCCCCUCAAUAUGUGACACCCACACACCUUUUCUUUUUAACAAAUCUUUC